GACGAACGCUGGCGGCGUGCUUAACACAUGCAAGUCGAACGGAAAGGCCCUGCUUUUGUGGGGUGCUCGAGUGGCGAACGGGUGAGUAACACGUGAGUAACCUGCCCUUGACUUUGGGAUAACUUCAGGAAACUGGGGCUAAUACCGGAUAGGAGCUCCUGCUGCAUGGUGGGGGUUGGAAAGUUUCGGCGGUUGGGGAUGGACUCGCGGCUUAUCAGCUUGUUGGUGGGGUAGUGGCUUACCAAGGCUUUGACGGGUAGCCGGCCUGAGAGGGUGACCGGCCACAUUGGGACUGAGAUACGGACCAGACUCCUACGGGAGGCAGCAGUGGGGAAUAUUGCACAAUGGGCGGAAGCCUGAUGCAGCAACGCCGCGUGCGGGAUGACGGCCUUCGGGUUGUAACCCGCUUUCGCCUGUGACGAAGCGUGAGUGACGGUAAUGGGUAAAGAAGCACCGGCUAACUACGUG
rnacentral:rRNA from 1 species